UGCCAAAAGUAACUUUUUAAACACAUUGUACUUUUAUUUUUAAGGCCAACUACCAGAUAUAAGGUUGGUCAAUGGGUCUGAUUCAUGCUGCGGGAGAGUGGAGAUCCUGUAUAAUGGCCAGUGGGGAACCGUGUGUGAUGAUAUCUGGGACCUGAAUGAUGCUGCUGUGGUGUGCAGACAGUCACAGUGUGGAUCAGCCAUCAGUGCACCUCCUGGAGCCGCCUUUGGUCAAGGCAGUGGAUCUAUCUGGCUGGAUGAUGUUAAAUGUUCAGGAAGUGAAGGAGCCCUCACACAAUGUUCUCACAGUGGACUAGGAAACCAUAACUGUAAACACGGUGAAGAUGCUGGUGUUGUUUGUUCAGGUGAGCUUCAGUUGCCGACUCUUUCCCUGACCUCCACACAUGCAGCUGUUUCUCCUGGAGAAAAUAUCCAGUUCAGUUGCACAACACCUAAACCAAGAUGCAAUUCUAAUGCUGAAUUCCAGCUCUUCAGAAACGGACCAUCUGUAUCCUCC